rnacentral:rRNA from 1 species
CCUACGGGUGGCAGCAGUCGAGAAUCAUUCACAAUGGGGGGAACCCUGAUGCAGCGACGCCGCGUGGGUGAAGGAGUAUUUCGGUAUGUAAAGCCCUAUCAGCAGGGAAGAACAAUGACGGUACCUGACUAAGAAGCACCGGCUAAAUACGUGCCAGCAGCCGCGGUAAUACGUAUGGUGCAAGCGUUAUCCGGAUUUACUGGGUGUAAAGGGAGCGCAGGCGGCGCGUUAAGCCUGGUGUGAAAGCCCGCGGCCCAACCGCGGGACUGCAUUGGGAACUGGCGCGCUGGAGUGCCGGAGGGGUAGGCGGAAUUCCUAGUGUAGCGGUGAAAUGCGUAGAUAUUAGGAGGAACACCAGUGGCGAAGGCGGCUUACUGGACAGUAACUGACGUUGAGGCUCGAAAGCGUGGGGAGCAAACAGGAUUAGAUACCCUGGUAGUC